UACCGCGGUUAUACGAGAGGCCCAAAUUGUUAAUGCAUCGGCGUAAAGCGUGGUUAAGAAAACAUAAAUAUACUAAAGCCGAAUACCUUCAAAGCUGUCAUACGCACAUCGAAGGAAAGAAGUCCAACUACGAAAGUGGCUUUAUAUUGUCUGAGCCCACGAAAGCUAGGGAA
rnacentral:rRNA from 1 species